rnacentral:rRNA from 1 species
UGCAGUCGACGGCAGCAUGAUCUAGCUUGCUAGAUUGAUGGCGAGUGGCGAACGGGUGAGUAAUACAUCGGAACGUGCCCUGUAGUGGGGGAUAACUAGUCGAAAGAUUAGCUAAUACCGCAUACGACCUGAGGGUGAAAGUGGGGGACCGCAAGGCCUCAUGCUAUAGGAGCGGCCGAUGUCUGAUUAGCUAGUUGGUGGGGUAAAGGCCCACCAAGGCGACGAUCAGUAGCUGGUCUGAGAGGACGAUCAGCCACACUGGGACUGAGACACGGCCCAGACUCCUACGGGAGGCAGCAGUGGGGAAUUUUGGACAAUGGGCGAAAGCCUGAUCCAGCAAUGCCGCGUGUGUGAAGAAGGCCUUCGGGUUGUAAAGCACUUUUGUCCGGAAAGAAAUCGCUUCGGUUAAUACCUGGAGUGGAUGACGGUACCGGAAGAAUAAGGACCGGCUAACUACGUGCCAGCAGCCGCGGUAAUACGUAGGGUCCAAGCGUUAAUCGGAAUUACUGGGCGUAAAGCGUGCGCAGGCGGUUGUGCAAGACCGAUGUGAAAUCCCCGAGCUUAACUUGGGAAUUGCAUUGGUGACUGCACGGCUAGAGUGUGUCAG